rnacentral:lncRNA from 1 species
ACAGAAGCCUCAUGCAUCUUGACCAGGACGGUGGAUGCAUGGCUUACAUUGGUCACAACUUGUCAACUUGUAUGACUGAAAACUGAACAUCACAUUGAAUUGGACUCAAAGGCAAGACCUGAGGCAAAAUUCAUGUAAGGAGGGAGUUUGGGCGAAGCUUGAGGACUGCUGCCCGGAAGCGUAGAUUCAAGUUGCCCUGAAUACACCUCCUAUUAGCAGCUGUUACAGGUUCAGAAAAAGGAUGGAGGUAGAAAGUCCUCUCUCCCAAACACUAUGAUUGACACUGCAGAGUUCUGCAACUCUCGUACGAGGGAGAUUUCAUGAUGAUCUCAGUAACCGAUCAGAGAAUCAACGACUGACUUCGCUGAGGCACGGUGAUGAAAAGGUCAAGGUGGUCUGGUCUGAGUGAAGUCACAGCAAGAACCCUUGUCCAGGGCCAUUCUCACCUUUGGGGACAGCUCCUUCCCUGUAUGGUCCUCAUGUCACUGCACUUUCCUGCCUUGUUUCUUGCUGAAGCCAUUAUUUCUUAAUUCCUUAGUAGAUAUGCAGAGCGGACAUCCCAAAGAAGCUAGAAAAAUUGAUGAGCAGGGAACAGAUCAAAUCCUCUCCAUCAGUGGAAGGCAAUUCACGAGGGAAGAAGGCAAGACCAUGGGGUAAUUUUUCUGAGACUUGACAAUGUUUGCCAAGUAAAUAAAUCUGCCAUUUAACACUACGAUAAAAGCUGUCAUAGCCAGGGUAUUAGUGACUACUUGAGGUUUGAGGACAAUGAAGACAGAGUAAGAUAAACAUCCUUACUAUCCAGAAAAAAAAAACGGAACCAGAAGACAGCGCUUCUUACUAUCCACAAAAGAAAUGGAACCGCAAGACAGCCCUUCUUAUUUUUCUCCAUCUUCGAUGGUGAGGAAGAAUAAAAAAAAAGUUGCUUUUAAAGUAUAUUCAUUAAAAUCAAAUUCUAUUAUCAUACACACAAAAUAUUUACGUGAAACCAGCCACAAAAGAAUGACAAGGAACGCUACUGAUUUGUCCAUUCUGGGGGAUAAGAACACAGAUUCUUAUCUCACUCUUGUUAAAAGAAAACUUCAGCUGAAUUAAAUUUAAAGGAGUUUAAUUGAGCAAUGAAUGAUUUGCACAUCGGGCAGCCCCCAGAAUUACAGCAGAUUCAGAGAGACUCCAGUGCAGCCACGUGGUGGAAGAUUUAUAGACAAAAAAAGGGAAGUGAGGUAGAGAAACACCUGGAUUAGUUACAGGUUGGCAUUUGCCUUAUUUACACACAGUUUGAACAUUCAGCAGUGUAUGAGUGAUUGAAGUACGGCUGCUGGGACUGGCCGAGACUCAGCAAUUGUGACAGGUACAUACUCCUAAUUUAGGUUUUCAAUCUUGUCUACCUAUUAAGUUAGGCUCAGUUUGUUCACAGGGACUCCAAUACAGAAGUACGGAGUCCUUCUCAGGCCAUAUUUAGUUCGCUUUAACAAUUCCCCCUUUUUGGUCAUUUUAUCAGUUUUGAGAGAUUGAUCGAAACUUGAGUUAUUGAUGUCACUGUCACCAUUGGUCUUGAAACCCACUAGGAAGCAGAACAGUGAGUUUUGCAAAGGUAGGAACAAGGACUGAGUUGAGGAUACCACCUUAUGCUGGAAAGUCCUGUUUGCAAGAGAAAAACAAAACCUGGUCUAUUCUAGGACCCAUGUGUUUCCUUAAAGUCUUAAUUCGAUUAUGUCACAUUUAGCACGAAUGAUGCCAUUUUGGUUCGGUUUGGUCUGUUGGGACCUAGUGCUCAGUCCAAAACAAUGGCCUCCCAUCAUUUUGUUUAAAAAAUUCCCCCUUUGUCAGGUUGUCACUUAGGCAAGAGUGUGACCAAAACUUAGGAUGUUAGCGCCACUCUCCGUUACUAUCAUUUUGGAUUUCCAGUCUCAGCAUGUCACUCAUCGGUUUCGGUGUCCUCGUGGUCACACAUUUCUUUCAGCUCUUGUCAUUCCAGUUGAAGAGAGACCAUCUGACGUUCUAAAGAUGGCUUCAUGCAAACAUUUAAAACCUUUGAGAGAAUACAGUGCACCAGGGAGACUAUUCUUAUGACUACUGAGAGGGUUAACACCAAGAAUUUGGAGUAUGCUCCUUAGCCAGGGUCCCCAUAAACCAGACCACCUAAACUCAAAUAGACCAUUCUUUGACUUAACUCAGUGGUCUUUUCGUUAAUUCCCUACAACAGACUCUCUAUAACACCUGAUGUUUUCUCCAUAGGCCUUAAGUGCCAGCAUCUGCACAGGUACUUUCCUGUUUAGCCAAUUCUAUUUUUUAGCAAAUGAUGCCCUUCUAGAAGAGGGAAGGCCUCUUGGCAAUGGUCUCUUUAACCCAUGCUGUGGGUUAAGAGGAGUGAACCAAUGUUCUGCUUCUGAAUGAUUAUGAGGCACCAUAUGUACCAUUGAAGUUUCUCACCUAUGAUACACUGGGCCUUCAUCUUUAUCUAUCAAGUUAUAAGAUUAUCCAUGUAUAAAGCUGGCUGCAAAGCCCUUCACAAAUAAAAGUAUACCCCAUAAGUGCACAAAACAGACCCCCUUCUCACUUCUGUUGUUCACAGAGGCGGAAGCAACGGAAAAACAUUCAAAGAUAAGAGUCUCAUGAUAGUAAGAAGUCUUGAUCCAUGAUCUUCAGAAAGAGCUGCUCACAUCAAGGAUGCCAUCUUCUUCUGGGGAGAAACUUCCCUGAUUAGCUUUACCUUAAGGGUUUCAAUGGAUGUAGAGUUCCAAGAGUGACCCUGCUCAGUUGUGAGAUUAUGACCCCAAGGUUCAAGAUCCUGAUGUUUUGUUGCAGUGAUGAUGCCAAGGGCAGCGUUUCUCUGAUGUUCUCAGAAGAUCCCAUCUUUGGGUUCUAGAUUGUGAAGGGGUUGAUUGUCCUCAGUGAACCAUAAAAAGCUCUUUACCUGGUGAAAAUACACUGAUACAUAGUAAUCUACUGUUAUAACAUUAGCCCUCCUGCAUGGGAAAGCUUUAGUACAACCAGAACACAUACAUUGAAAAUGACAACUGAAUGAAACCCCUUUAUAAAUGUUUAAAUGCCUCAUCAGGUAGCCAAAUGUACAUGAAGCUUUGAUUGACUUCCCAGGAGUAUGGGUUUGACAAACUAAACAUUGUUUAUAAACUAUUUUAACAAUCUGUAAGUCACCACACCAACAUAUUUAAUUUGGAUCAUUUUAUCUUUUCCAGGAUGAGUCAUGGAAUGCAUAACUUUUAAUAACAAAAGCUUUAAGGACUCACGAAGGACAAGGCAGCCAUCUUGGUUCUCCAUGAGUCCAUGCUUAACAUCGGACUUAUGUCCUCUUGGGUGCCAGUUGUUUCUCCAAAUUGGGCACAUAGCAUGGAUAACUGAUGGGUUAUCACAGGGGAUGGAAAAAUCUCAACAAAAAAGGAGCGCAGAAGAGCCUGGCUAGGCGGGAGAACACGGUCAGGCCCGCAGGAGACGCCGCGGCACCUGCCAGAAAGAGAGCCGCAGGCCAAGACCAGGAGACGCGAGAGAGGUGGGCAGGGCUGCCCGAGAGACCCAGGCGGCCAUUGCCCGCCCUGCGUCUGCGCCUGCGCCGGAGCCUCCUCCACACUGCGCCAGCGCCGAGUCCGGCCGCCUCCUCAUUGCGCCGGCGCCGGGGCUUCCUCCACACCGCGCCUGCGCCGAUGACAACCCGCCUCUACAGGACGCCUGCGCAACGCCAUAGUCACCUCAUCAGCUCCGUGCACUUACGAGUCUCUCUCUGAUCGACCACGUGUUCCUGUCGGCUCACAGAGGCCGCCUCAGGGUCCUCCCCCAUUGUCUUCCUCGCACCCUCCACUGUUCCCGGCCCUUCACUCUGCGCUUGCGCAGGAGUCGCUCGCUCCUCUCUGCGCCUGCGCAGAGGCCACCUCCUCCCCGCCCGUCCGCUCCCUUGGCGUCGUCUUGGGCCGCGCCCCGACCCCUUCUGUUUACGCAUGCGCAGGAGCCGCCCUGCGCGGGUGGGGGGCUGAGCCCCUGUGGCUUCAGGUUUAAAGGCGCGAGCGCCACCCACGCAGGCACAAGGGCUCCUAGUCGUUUUAUUUUUAGCGUAAGGUUUUCCUCUUUAACAAGGAAGUAAAAAAAAAAGUUGUGCAAUAAAUAUUAAUCGUCCUUAUAUGUACUCGGGAACGUUCGUCCUUUAGGUUUUCUCCUGGCGCAUGGGCGCCGCCAAUCAUUUCGGGGCUUAUUUUGGUUCUAAAGCCCGGGGCAGCCAGGCCUCCCUGCCUGGCCUCGGCGGGGACGCGGGACCUGGGGCCCCGGACCGGGCCUAACCGCCCUGGCCGGUCCCCACUGAUGGUGGCGGUCGGUCCUGAUCGUCCUGAUGGCAGCGACCAGGCUGGACUCGGGCUGUGCAGGGGCGAGGGGAGCAGGGCGGGGUGACGCCCGGAGAGCGGCCUGGAGAGCGCGUGCUUCAGAAGGCGUGGGCACCCUGUCCCCUUUGCAGAUGGGGAUGCAGGCCCUGGUGGCGGUGGAGGGGAGAUGGGGGCAGGGACGUUGCCGGGCAGAGGAAGCUGGGUGAGUGUGCACUUGGUCCCCUUUGCUCCUCCCUGGGACUUUGGGCUCUAUAGGGCAGCCUCCGAGGCCCACGUGCACACUCGGUGAACCACAGUCCAGACACAGGCAGGGCGGCAGGCCAGGGAAGGAGAGGCCAGGUGUUGGUGCAUGGAGAGGCCAGGUGUUGGCCUGGGGGUGCUAAGUGAACCCCCAAGGUCGCGGAGACAGUAGGGCAACAGCAAAACGAGCUCUGCCGUCCAGGGCGAGGGCCCGGAGUCCUCCCCAGGGGUGGGCUGCAGAGAAGCCCCUGUCCAGGCCCUGCUCACCUGCAAAGUGCUCCCGAGCUCCUGUGCCCCCAGCAGCAAUCCCAGCCCCGCUGACACCCAAGCUUGUCACCCGCUGGGUUUCUUGAGGUCUGAGGACCGUGGCUGAGGGUGCAUGGGCGCUGGGAUGGAGGGGGAUGUCCUGUCCCAGUCUGUGCUUAUUAAUUGUUAAAGAGGGCAAGGCUGCUUUUAUUCAAGGUGGGGGGGCUGCUAAAGCGAGAUGUUGGGUUAGGGGAGGCAGAUCCGGCUCAACUCCAGAUAGAAAAAGUGGGAAUUGACAGCCCAGGCGUAGGGUCGGGAGUGGAGAGAAAAUUACUAAGAGGAAGGGUCAGGGGCAAGGCGGGUUCUAGCUGCAUAGACAGGAUUUUUGCUGAAAAGGCAGGCAGUGUGGUCACAGACCGAGGGUGGGAGUUGAGGACUUUGAUCAGGGACCAAGAGUAGACGAUUUUCACUAAACCGACUCAGCAGGAUUCUUGCUAAAUCGGCCGAAACCGGCCAAGGUCAGGGACUGGUCACAGGGAGGGCUCAGAGGAGCCUGACUCGAGUGUGGUCAAAGGAGAGAGUCUUUGUCAUCUUUUAAGAGGCGAGAGUGACGUAUUAGUGAGAAACGGUGAAGGGAUCAAGCUCAGGCCAGCAGCCCCGAGUUUGAGAUGAGGACAGGCUGGGUCCAGGAAGGGCUGCAGGAAUAGGGGGCACCUGAGCCUGCAGAAAGCGGGGAGCCCAGCCGCCAGAGCAGGCACCCCCAGGCAGACCUCAGUGUGUCCUGCCCUGUGGGAGUGGCAAGGCCAGACCAAGCUGGAUGUGAACCAGUCCCAGAACACCGCCUAGAAUUUGGAUUGUAAUUUGUUAUCGAUGAUAUUGCUGCUUGGUCUCUCUCCUCUUCCUCCCCACCCCCACCCAAGAUGGAGUCUGGCUUUGUCCCCCAGGCUGGAGUGCGAUGGCAGGAUCUCGGCUCACUGCAACCUCCGCCUCCUGGGUUCAAACAAUUCUCCUGCCUCAGCCUCCCAAAUAGCGGGGAUUACUGGUGCGUGCCACCACACCCAGCUAAUUUUUGUAUUUUUGGUAGAGACGGGGUUUCAUCAUGUUGGCCAGGCUAGUCUCAAACUCCUGACGUCGUGAUCCGCCCACCUCAGCCUCCCGAAAUGCUUUGGGAUUACGGGUGUGAGCCGCCGCGCCGAGCAUGGCCAUCGUGGCUACAUCAGUCCCGGCUAAUAGAGAUUUUAGCACACUCAGAUUCUAUUGGCUAAUAAGAUUUAAUUAUAAUUCUGGGGUAUUUAACAAUGUCGUUAUACAGUCUUCAUUGUUGCAAAUGGAGAAUGAAAUCGGGUGCAUGUGACACUAAUAUGACCUGUUCAUGCUCUGUCACUUAAACGGAGUUAAGUAACAUAGCCCUGAGCAGGAAGACUCCUUCCCCACUUCUGUCCAGGAGCUCCUUACUCGAUUCUGGGGAACAGAAAGGCUUUCAGCGGCCAAGGGGAGUGACAACAGCCAGACAUGAGACACCUCCUAGAGCCCUUUGGUGUUACCCUUUCCGGUCCAUCAGCCACAGUGUCCACCCCAGGUAGCUGGGUCCUGAGUUCACCGUCUCAGGACAUUUUUCGACCUGGUUUGUCUGAAUUAUUAUUAUUAUUGAUCAUUGAGACAGGGUCUCAGUCCAUCGCCAAGACUGGAGUGCAGUGGUGUGAUCCUGGCUUACUCAGCCUCCCAGGCUCAGGUGAUCCUCCCAGCUCAGCCUCCUGCGUAGCUGGGACCACAGGCAGGCACCACCAUGCCUGGCUAAAUUUUUUGUAUUUUUUGUAGAGACCAGCUCUCGCUAUGUUGUCCAGGUUGGUCUCAAACUGCUGCCUCAGCCUCCCAAGGUGCUGGGAUUACAGGCAUGAGGGACCAAGCUCAGCAAUCUGAAUUAUUUAUGCAGAAUUUUUUUUUCUCUAGCUGGAAGAGCUGUUUAUAUGCACGUUUCUUUGGGGGCAACUCUUCUCCAUUGUCACAGAUUUUUUUUUUCCAAGCCAUUCCUGGGGGAUUCCUGGGAGCCAUGUGGGAGAGGCGUGAGGAAGUGAGACCUUCACCCCGAGACAGGUCCUGACACACCCUCUGGUGCCUCUACUCAAGUGAGAGCUUUGGAAUAAACAGAUUUCCAUAAAGAAAAGCUGCUUUAGAGUGCUACACUGUAAGAGGGGCCGGGCAAACAAGAAGGGACGGAGGAAAGACCACCAAGUGAGAGGCACAGGUGUCAGGACACACAGAGAGCCCGAAAACGAGGCAGAGGUGAGCGGGGACCAGCAGCACAGCGGCACUGACGCGCCAGGGACUUGGGCUCUGCUGGCCUCCUCCCUCGCGGCCAGCAGUGGCAGUGGUGGGAGUAGGCCUGGCUUGUCUGUGGUUGCCUUUGUUGCUUUAAUUGAAAGUACUCAAGGCUAUUUCUUGUCGCGUCAUUUCUGACAGUGUCCGGUGGUCCCUACCCUGUAAUGCCAGGAGGUUCCAGCCCCACCCUUCCCUCCCCACUCCCUCUUUCAUCUCCCGGAUCCUAUUAGAGGAUUGCUUUUAUAGCUGAUGAGCUGAUGAAGUAUGCAUUUAGCCCUUUAACCGUAACUGAAUUUCCCCUGGUGCACAUCUGUAUGAAGGGUGUGCACCAGGGCUGAGCCGUCUGCUGGGCGAAUAUGUCCCUCCCUGAGGCCCAGGACCACAACCCCUGAGUCACUCAAAGGAAUCGUUCCCAGCCUUAAGAAGUUUGGCUGCUGUAACUGACUGGGAAGCUUAAAAUAACAGACAAUCAUCUCUCACAUUUAUGGGGACUGGGAAGUCCAAGACCAAGUUGCCAUCUGGGGAGGGCCUGUUCCUCACAGCGCCUUCCAGCUCAGGCCUCGUUUAUAAGGGCACUCAAGCCUUCCACGACAACGGGUCCUCAUGACUUACUCACCUCGGAAAGCCCCACCCCCAAGACCAUCACAUUGUGGGUGAUGGCAGAGCAUAAGGUGCCUUCCCCACAUGCUCGGGUUGGCCCAGCGUCUCACGCUAGCAGCUACGUGGAAUAGUUAUUUUUUCUGGAGAACUCUGGGACCCCUCUGAUGUCUUGGAGCACCCACACAGGCCGUUCACUGUGCACGCUGUGAGGCUGUCGUCUUGGAGCACCCACACAGGCCGUUCACUGUGCACGUGGUGAGGCUGUCCUCUGGGGAGUUCUGCUGUUGUAUGGGUUCUGUCUGUGUCAAUGUCCCAGCGGGAACGCAGGGCACACUAGCGUCAUCCCCAGAGGGCUUGGUAAGGGGACUGUUUGCAGAGACAUAGGCAGAGGGCUGGAAAACUACCAAAAAAGUGCAGUGUUCUGGACCUAAUAAUAGCAGAGCUAUUCUCACCCUGGUCUGAAGGCAGGAGGGGAGGAGCAGUUAAUGGAUUCUGGAAGUCAGGUUGCACAGAGUCACCUUGAAAGAUGCCAUGACCUUCACCGAGGGCCAGACAGAGACUAAGAUGACCCCAUAGGAGAAUAAGACCUAGACCUCAUCCUCCUGCCUCCUGCCAGUCCCUGCCAGGGGUCGCCAAUGGCAAAACAGGACUGGAAGCCAGAGGCCAUGGAAGCCCAUGGAUGAAGUCCACAGGCCAGCCUCCCCGAGAGCAGCCUGGACGGUCCGCAGGAGACGUCUCCUGUCUUAGGCGUCCCACGCCGCGUGCUCCUGUUCAGCCCUGCCGAGGUGGAAGCUUGGAGUGGCUCACGGUGGAUGCAUUGACGCUGCAGACGCCAGCAAGUGCUACAAACCAGAGCUGGCCUUUAACUCAGACUGAUGGAGAAGGUGUUAAUAAUGCAGAUUAGACUUAAAAGUGUUGAAGCCAUUGCACUGUGAACAGCAAAAAAAUUGAAGAACUCUUCUGGCAUUUAAAAACAAUUACUCAGUUCAGCAGAGAAGUCACUGACAAACGAGAUCACACUGACUGCUUUGUCGUUUUGGUUUUGUCUUACUCAUUAAUGCAAAUAAGAACAUUCACUAGCAUCUGUGUCGGGCCUACCCUCCCUGGUCAAAUACAGCUACAGUCUCCCUGCAGAAACGAGUUUUCCAGAAAUGAGCCGAUGUUUUCUGCGAGAAUCAAUUGGUCAUAUACAAUUUACAAAAAUGAGUACUGUAUACUAUAUUUGUAAACUGUACACUGCAGAUGCUUUAUUUCACUGAAAUUUAUAAUACACUUAUCCAUGUAUAUGCAUGCAUGCAUUUUUGUUCCUGAGAUCCAGCUGUGAAAUGUUUACCAGCACAUAAAUUACCAGCACAUGCUCUUUUUUGUUAACCUACUAGGUAAAAUCUUCAUUUAUUACAUCAAAUUCUUGUAGUUUUUGUAUUGCAAUUAUGCAGAUAUUGAUUAUCGCAGUAUUACUGCAAUUAUACAGAUACCACAAUUUCAGAUAUUGAUCAGCGUGUUCAGUUGGUUUCUAAGGAGGUUUACUUACCUCAUGGUACACCUAGUUUGCAUAGUUUGAUUAUAUUUAACUCUUAUGCUAAUUGGGGGAAGUCAUUGAUUUAUUGGACAGAUGCACCUGUGGUCUUCCCUGAGCACAUCCUGGCCAAGGAUGCUGCCCCCAGGAGAUUUGAGAAGUCCUGUAAGGAUCAUAUCAGUAUUUUCAAAUACUUAUAGAAAAGCCAGAGGGAUUGACCCAGAAUUACCAAUAUAAGCUUGACCCUGAGAUAACAAUGCCAUUUUAUGUUUGCAUGCAUAAAACCAAUGCAAGAGGCUGAUGACUCCAGAUCCCUUAUAUAAGCCAAUAAAAAGUAGUUUCAUUUUUUAUUUCAUUUAAAAAAGUGUACCAUUAACCUAAAGCCUGCUUGUAAAACCAGUUUGUUUCUGAAGCAUUAGCUCAAAGCUCACUUGCAUUUGGUGAGAAGUCCCUCACGUGUGGCUGCCCUGGCUGGGAGCUCUGAGCUCUGGGAGCCAUUGGAACUGCUAAUCCCACCAGUGCCGUCUGAUUCCCUCUGCUCUAAUGGAGGUCUUUUGCCGGGUAUCCAGUGGCAUUUUCUGGGCUUGGGAGUCAGUAAUUCCCAGUGAUCAAGUGUCUCUGCUCUGAAAAUGCCUUUCUUUGUGAUAUGAAGCUGUCAGUGAUGGAGACUGACCUUUUCAUAAGUCAGUGAAUUUUCUUUCUCUGAGUCAUUUUAGAGAGUGAAUCUGAACUCUCCAGUCUGUCCUAAGAAGACAUUAAUUGGAGCAGGCAUGGAACCUUCAGCUUUCCCAGUCACCUGCCGGGUUACUUGGCUUAACCUGGGAAUUAACCAGUUAAUAAGGUUGUUGAAAUGGAAAGAAUCCAGGAGGCUGCAGUGUGAGGCUGAUUUGCUGUCUUUAUUAAGUGAGGAAAUGAGAAAUGGGAAGAAUCCAGGAGGCUGCAGUGUGAGGCUGAUUUGCUGUCUUUAUUAAGUGAGGAAACGACAGCAAAGCACUUCUAGGCUUCUCACAGCUGAGCACACGAAGACUAAGCCCUCUUCCCGCCGUAGCCAGUGAGGAGAGGAUCCCUCUUCCCAAGCCCCCUCAAGCAGUGGCUCCCGCUCACUGGAGGCUGGAGUUUCUAGGGCUUGUCCCUGUCCAGAGCUGCUGCCUCAGGUGUGAGGGUGACUGCCCAGCCCCCGCGCCACAGGCCCUCCUCUCACCCGGACCUCAGGACCAGUUGGUAGGCCCCAGGCUUCCACCUUCAGGGGCAUGGGGACGCUGGCCCCUGUGUCCGCCGAGGACGUCCUGGCUCCUUUUGGGGGUCUCUCCUGUCAGGACAGGUUCCGUGGGGUUGGAGGGACUCAGCCUGUUUCUGUGCCAUCCGCCUUUAACGGCCCAGAAACGUUAGUGACUGAGAGUAAAAUAAGGUCGACUUCACAGUUUCUUUCUCCUCAGCAGUGUCUGGGGGCUGGUCCUCAGCCAUGACCGCCGGCCCUGGUCUGUCAUCAUCCUGAUAAUUUUCCAGAACUCCACCUGCAGCCGUCAUCCUGGGCGGCCCUGCUCCAUCUGUACCCUCUGCCCUGCCCUGGUCCUGGACCUGCUCCGCUCUGCAUUGCGCUCUGCGGGACCUGAGAGGUUUCUCAGCAGGAGCUGAAUAGUGUUGAAAAGGCUUCCAGCCCGCACCUCAGUGGGGCACUUUUCUUCAUGGGACAUGCGGGGUUGUCUGGGCUGGAGAACACAGAUUUGGGGGCACUCCGGAAGGUGGCAGAAGGUUGGCCCUACACGGGACCCAGUGGUCAUCUCUGCAAAUGCCGGGGCUGGGCUGUUCCUGCCUCAGAGGCCUCCCUCCUCCAGAGCAGGGGUGGAGAAAUCAGCCUGGAGAGCCUCACGGCGCAGGAGGGAUUUGCCGGGGCUGCCUCUGCAUAGAGCCCCCUGCAAACAGAGGAGCUGUUUUAUAGCACUGGAUUUAGCUUGCAGGGUCCUGGAACACCUAGAGACACCAGAGGGGGAGACCGCAGAUGAAGACCUCCUGGACGGCCGGGCAACCAGUGGCAGUCCCACGAGCCACGGGGCCGUGGCCAGCCUCCUUUCGGGACACAGUCCAGCCUGGAGGGAAGGAGGGGACAGGGGACCUUUCUGAUUCUUCUUUUUCCUUUUCCUUUGGAAUGAGAAAACAGCCUCUACGUUCUCCCAUUCACGUCUGUCAUCAGCUGAAGGAGCUCUUCCCCUUUUCCCCACUGACUCUGCACCCUCCACGGGGACAGCCUUGCUUUCGGGGCACAAUGAAAGAAACAUGACUGGAGACAUUACCAAGACCUGUCACUUGCUACCUUCUCUUUCUGAAGCCGUAAACAUGAGGAAAGACUCAUCGUUAGGUUAUUAUGAAUGAUGGACCAGCUUAUGUGUUUCAAUGAAAGCUAGGCUAUCACUGAGCUUGCUGGCUUAAAGCUGUGUGAGCCCACUGCUUAAUUUUUGGGACACAAAAGGUCUAGAAAUGUCGCCUGGCCUUUUCCAGUAGAGGUUGGCCCAAGAGCAUGAAUUUUCUGGCCAGCAUUUCGUUUCUUUUUCCUUCACGUAUGUUGCCAGCACUCAGGGCCUGUGGACCUGCCUUCUGUGCAGGGUGUCUUGUCUUUCGGGGCCGUGGCUGCUUCCGUAGGAGGCAUGGCAGGUGCCAGCCUGGGGCUGAGCUCUCCCCACGUGGAGCUCAGGGCCUCAGAGGCCAAAGGCACAUCCCUCAGAGGGCCUGGAAAUGGAAGGCCGGGCUGGGUUUACGGCACACCCAGGCCGGGCUCUAGUGGCUCAUGGUCACAGCCUGUCCACACAGCAUGGCGCUCCAGAGAAUGCUCAGAGGCUUAGGCUCAGACAGACAUGAAUUCACGUCUGAUGGGCGGAGCACCCGUGUGACCAUGGCAGGUUGCCUCCUUUUUAUCUGCAAAGCUGUGGCAAUGAUCCCCACCUCCAAGGACUCCAGCGAGGCACAUGUGAGACGCUGCAUGGGAAGAGCGUCCUGCAAACCCGGCCAGAUGGCAGCUGCACCGUCCCUCUGCCAGGUGUCCCUGGAGAUGCCUGCCUACCCAGCUCUGUUUCUGUUCACAUCUCAGUGUGACAAGCAGCCUGGAAGGGCCAUGCUCGAAAGGCUUGGGCCAGGAGCUCUUACCUGGUGAGCACAGACUGCGGCUUCCCAGACACCAACAGGGGAGGGGACAGAUGUUGCGCCAUGCUACGCCAUUGACUUUUCUGCAACUGAUACGAUGGGAAUAAUACUCCACUUCAGUUCACAGGGUGGGGGCAAUAGUGAGUGAGAGCUGGACAAGCCAGGGAAUAUUGAGAGACCAAAGACACCUGUUGUGGAUUUCCUGGGCCAUGAGAGCCGCCUCUUGGACGUGCAGGGUUGACGUAGUCAGCCACUCUUCUGAAACAGCGGCCUGGGGACCAGGCAGCCACGGUGAACCCUGGUACAUCACAGAGGGUGCUGACAUGGGCUGUACUGUGGGAGCUGCUGUGUAAUCAUUGCACACUGGGCAGUGGUGUUUGGCAUUCCCUGUGAUUACGUUCAGCCACCUAGACAGAACCCCAAAUCACGGUGGGUGAAACAAGAUGGAGCGCAUUUUCUUCCAUGCACAGGAAGCAUGGCAGCUGGCACUUACAGCCAGCGUGAAGCUCCCAGGGGCUCCAGAGCCAGGAGCUCUCUGCUCCUGGGCCUCACAUCCCUGCUCAUGGCUUCCAUGCUCCCUGCCAGCGUGGCUGCUGGAACUCCAGCCUUCUCAUCACAAUGCGUACAGGGAGGCUUCCAGAAGCUCUGGGUCAGUAUUCCGGCGUGCAUGUCCUCCACCCUAACGCACUCACCCACAUGCGCCGAGCAAAGUUGGAGCGGGUGGAGAAGGGCCUGGCGGUGCAGAGGCCCCAGGAUUUCUGGACAGGGCAGCUGUGGCUGCAGCAGGGAGGUGCAGUGCUGCGGGGAGGCGGUUGACAGCUGUCGCCUUUUGCCACUUCUGAGCCCAGCCACCAAAUUGGUCCACGUCUCUUAGAAAAUUCUGUGACAUGGCAGAUUCAUUGACACUCCUGGUCAUAACUGCUUCCCUUCUCCCACUAGACCACCUUCCCUCCCCAGCCCCCUUUUGGUAGCACAAAUACAGCUGCUGUGUGUAUUGGAUCCAGCAGGCGUGGAUCCAAUUAAACCUACACUAUUUGUUUCACUUUUCUUCAGAAAGAGCCUAUGAAAUAUGAGUUUCGGGGGCAAAGUUUUUAUCAUCAGAGCUGUUCCUUUCCAGCAGACCUUUCAGUUCUCAGCAGCAGCCCUUCUUUCUGGGGUAGGAACUGAGCUGGUCUGUGGGAUGCCCCGCCUCGUUCCAAAUGGGGUCCAUCCCUGAGACAAAGGCACAUGAUACAAAGCAAAGCCGCACAAACCUGCGGGAAUCAGAGUGAGGGAGAUGGAGGUGGAACAGCCACGCGGCCCGAGGAAGCAGCUACAGAAUGAAGUCUGUUAGUUCCCAUUCAGGCACCAGAGUGGGCCACACAUUUGCUGGUAGCUUCUAUCGACCAGUGCAAAAAGGCGACCGAGGUCUGUGAUGUCCCAGAGUGAACAUGACAGAGCGCAGGGGACACUCGGGCCUGAGCCCCCUGCCACCAAGGAAGAGGACCUUGAGGAAGGCAUGGGUGCCACCUGUCCACUGCACACACAGCCCUUCUAACGAACACGGACCCUCACGGGGCCCGGCGGGGCUCAGACACCGAUUCUAACACAGACCCUCACGGGCCCCCGCGGGGCUCAGACACCGAUUCCAACACGGACCCUCACGGGCCCCGCGGGGCUCAGACACCGAUUCCAACACGGACCCUCACGGGGCCCGGCGGGGCUCAGACACCGAUUCUAACACAGACCCUCACGGGGCCCGGCGGGGCUCAGACACCGAUUCUCACACGGACCCUCACGGGCCCCGGCGGGGCUCAGACACCGAGGCUGACACACUGCCCUGUGCACACCUGCCUGGAGCCGGUGGCGGGACCCAGGGAGAGACAGCGUGUCCUCCAGCGUCUCCCCAGCUCCUCCGUGGUCAGUGGAGAGUCCAUGGGAACGUUUGAGGCUUUGAUCCUUGGCAAGAAUAUUUUUUUUUUGAGAUGGAGUCUCACUCUGUCGCCCAGGCUGGAGUGCAGAGUGGUGUGAUCUCGGCUCACUGCAAGCUCCGCCUCCCAGGUUCACGCCAUUCUCCUGCCUCAGCCUCCCGAGUAGCAGGGACUACAGGCGCCCGCCACCACGCCUGGCUAAUUUUUUGUAUUUUUAGUACAGACAGGGUUUCACUGUGUUAGCCAGGAUGGUCUCAAUCUCCUGACCUCGUGAUCCACCCUCCUCGGCCUCCCAAAGUGCUGGGAUUACAGGCGUGAGCCCCCGCGCCCGGCCGGCAAGAAUCCUGCGUGCGGAUGUUAAACCAGGGGCCAAAUGCAGCCAGGCUUGCACAGUGGGCUUGUCUUCAGCAAGAUGGGGGCUGCCUCAGAAUCACCAGGAACGUUCGAUAAAAAUGGAGACUUCCGGAACCUGCCCUAACCUACUGAACAGUAUCGUUGCUGGUGGGUGCCCUGCAGUCUGCAUUUGGCAAACUGGCAUAGCGAGUCCCAUGCCGUGUCGAGCCUGAGCCCCACGUUUCAUAAGGGAUUAGGGUCACUGGAGCUCACGAGGCCGCACCUGUUCCUGGCUGGGUGCGCUUGGGCACUUUGCCCGUCUACGCCUGGAACUUCUCUGGUGUAAACUGGAAUAAUAUCUCCUUUACAUGGCACAGAACUAAAGAUUCUUUGAGUUCCAGGUAAUAAAAACCAAGGCCAGACUAAAUCAGACAAAAUGACAUUUAAAACAUAAUAAAGACAGGAUUGCAGCUGACAGUGGAUCUAGAGAUCCACAGUUCACUGGGCCCCCACCCUGCCUGUCGCUCAGAAGUCUCCCCUCUGUGUGGCUUCACUCGCAGGCCGCUCCUCUGCACGGAGCAGCAGGGUGGCCGCCAUCAGCCUGGUCUCAUCUGCCCUCAGGGCUGAUGGUCCUGGACAAACAGCUGUCUCUCUGUUCAUCAAACUUGAGUUCAUAGCCUUCCAGAGGUGGCUGCAAAGCAGGCGGUGUGCUCACCUGGGCCGAUCACACCUCUGAGGGACCGAGCGCUCUGAGGACGGUGCCCCAGGUCACACCCGUGAGGGGCACACAUCCCCUGGGCUUCAGAGCAACGCAGCUGUGUCCUCUCCACAAGAGACACAUGGCUCCAGCUCCACACCCGAGCACCUGCUGUUUACGGUUUGUGCUGACCGGAUGCUGUUUCUCCUUCCAUCUCCACCUGCAAAUGUUCUGCUGACCCUCAGGCCGGUUUGAAGACCAGCACAGCCCAUGUGAGCAGGGCACAGGGCCCCAUCCUGAGUGGCUGGCCUGUCCGGGGGAGGAAGUUCCACCCCACACCCACCCCACCACCACAGGAUGUGCCCAGAAGGCGGAGGGACUGGCCACUGUGGGGGCUCCCAUGUCCAGGCCGGGCCUCCUCAGCAUAAAAUCAGCUGACAGCAGCCUCAACGCGCCACUGCCUGAGAGGACACCGCCUCUCCAAACCUGGGAAGAAGGCAGCCACGCCCUGGGGAGGGAACAGGUGGAGGUGGGUGCCAGGACUAGCCAGGACUUCCUCCCAAAUAUUUAGAAACUUGAUUGCAAUGAAAAGAUAGCAUCACUGAAUUAAAGACGUCAUUUAUUAUGGAGCUGAGAUUUGGUUUGCCCAGCAGCUUAAAACAAUGUCACUCACAGCCUUGUGGCACCUUGGGACGGGCAGGUGCCUACACAAUUAUUUACUUAAGAACAUACCUUCCUUUAAAAUAACCAAUGUUGUACUUAGAUAAAUGUAUUUACAUGGGAGACUUUCUGUCACAGAUUUGAUGUCUCGUGAUCAUUUCUCUUAGUAUACAUUAAAAGUUAAUUAUUGUCAGAAAAAGU